rnacentral:rRNA from 1 species
CGUGUAGGCGGCCAGGCAAGUUGGGUGUGAAAGCCCUCGGCUUAACCGAGGAAGUGCGCCCAAAACUACCUGGCUUGAGUACCGGAGAGGGUGGCGGAAUUCCCGGUGUAGAGGUGAAAUUCGUAGAUAUCGGGAGGAACACCAGUGGCGAAGGCGGCCACCUGGACGGAUACUGACGCUGAGACGCGAAAGCGUGGGGAGCAAACAGGAUUAGAUACCCUGGUAGUCCACGCUGUAAACGAUGAGCGCUAGGUGUUGUGGGUGUUGACCCCCGCAGUGCCGCAGCUAACGCAUUAAGCGCUCCGCCUGGGAAGUACGGCCGCAAGGCUAAA